rnacentral:rRNA from 1 species
UAGGGAAUCUUCCGCAAUGGACGAAAGUCUGACGGAGCAACGCCGCGUGAGUGAAGAAGGUUUUCGGAUCGUAAAACUCUGUUGUCAGAGAAGAACAAGUUGGAGAGUAACUGCUCCAGCCUUGACGGUAUCUGACCAGAAAGUCACGGCUAACUACGUGCCAGCAGCCGCGGUACUACGUAGGUGGCAAGCGUUGUCCGGAUUUAUUGGGCGUAAAGCGAGCGCAGGCGGUUCCUUAAGUCUGAUGUGAAAGCCCACGGCUCAACCGUGGAAGGUCAUUGGAAACGGUGGAACUUGAGUGCAGAAGAGGAGAGUGGAAUUCCAUGUGUAGCGGUGAAAUGCGUAGAUAUAUGGGGGAACACCAGUGGCGAAGGCGACUCUCUGGUCUGUAACUGACGCUGAGGCUCGAAAGCGUGGGGAGCAAACA